GCUAGCGUAGCUCAAUGGCAGAGCACUGGUUUUGUAAACCAGUGGUUGUGGGUUCAAGUCCCACCGCUAGCU
rnacentral:tRNA from 1 species